GGAGGCUCAGUGGUAGAGUGCUUGCCUUGCAUGCAAGAGGCCCUGGGUUCGAUUCCUCAGCACCA
rnacentral:tRNA from 1 species